rnacentral:misc_RNA from 1 species
CCUCCUUUCUAAGGAAAUCGAAAAUAAUAUUUUCGAUUUAAAAAAAACCGGUAAUGUGACCGUCCUCAUUUCUCUUCUUUUAAUGUCUCUGAGUAAAAAUUUUUAAUGUAAGGGGCCGGUAGCUCAGGUGGUUAGAGCGCACCCCUGAUAAGGGUGAGGUCGGAAGUUCGAAUCUUCCUCGGCCCACCAAUAUUACGGGGGAUUAGCUCAGCUGGGAGAGCGCCUGAUUUGCAUUCAGGAGGUCAGCGGUUCGAUCCCGCUAUCCUCCACCAAAAUUUGAGACAUUUAGCUUUUUUAAAUUGUGAAUAAUUUUAUUAUCAAUAUCUAUAUCCGAUUGUUUUCAUAUAUUUUUUUGAAAACAAUCAAAACAAAAAUUUGAAUUUUACACAGAAAGUUUUUUUCUGUGCAUAAAUCAAGCGUUUAAGGGCGAUCGGCGGAUGCCUUGGCACUGUAAGACGAUGAAGGACGUGGUAUACUGCGAUAAGUUUCGGGGAGUUGUAUGCAAGCUUUGAUCCGAAAAUUCCGAAUGUGGAAACCCA